rnacentral:rRNA from 1 species
UACAGAGGGUGCAAGCGUUUGUUCGGAAUUACUGGGCGUAAAGCGUGCGUAGUCGGUAUUGAGAGUCGCGGGUGAAAUCCCAGGGCUUAACCCUGGAACUGCCUGCGAGACCUCAGUACUAGAGUGUGAGAGGGGAUAGUGGAAUACCCAGUGUAGCGGUGAAAUGCGUAGAGAUUGGGUGGAACACCGGUGGCGAAGGCGGCUAUCUGGCUCACAACUGACGAUCAGGCACGAAAGCGUGGGGAGCAAACAGG